GACGUAGGUGGCGAACGUUAUCCGGAAUUAUUGGGCGUAAAGGGUGCGCAGGUGGCGGCGCGCGUGGGGGGUGAAAUCGCCCGGCUUAACUGGGCGGGGGCCUUCCAGACGGCGUGGCUUGAGCAGCGGAGGGGGACGUGGAAUUCCGGGUGGAGCGGUGAAAUGCGUAGAGAUCCGGAGGAACACCGACGGCGCAGGCAGCGUCCUGGCCGCUUGCUGACACUGAGGCACGAAAGCUGGGGGAGCAAACAGG
rnacentral:rRNA from 1 species